rnacentral:lncRNA from 1 species
AAGGGACGAUGCAACAAACGGAUUGUCCGGUGCUCUCGGGACUCCCCGUCCAGCCCCUUGCGAGGGAGACGUCUGCAGCCAACGAGGGAACGUCCACGUCCGUCUUUGUAGUGCCUGGGGACCCAGCCUCUCUCCCCGCCAUCUCAGACUCACCGGGAGGCCCCAGCGCCGUGGGUUCUGCUCCUCCGUCUUCAGCUGGCGAGAGAGUUCCCAUCCCACCUGUAGCUACAGAAGGAAGAGGGGACGCGGCUGGUUCCGCAUCCGCAGCCCACGAGGAAACCACCGCCUCUAACCCCGGUGCCCAGCAUGCAGAGGUGAGUCCAGCACACGGGGCAGAGCUGCCCCCAGGCGAAAGAGGCACCUGGGCCAAUGCUGAGACCUCCCCAUAUUCGUCCUUAGGGGAUGGGAGAGCCACAGGAAUACACGCGCCGUCGGGGGAAACAACCCCAGCUGCCUUUGCCUCUCCCGGUGAAACUGCUGCUGGGCCCUCAGCUUCACAGACUGCACGGCCAGGACCUUUGUUUUCUAGUGCCCCGGUGCCCUCCCCCUCCUCUCCCGAGAGGCCGACAGUACUUGGGCCCGCUGGGGUUACGAAAGAAGCAGCCCUCUCUGCCGGUGACUCAGGAGUCCCCGCGGCAUUCCCAGGACUGGAGGCAGUGACCGGGCGACCACUAACGACAGUACGGCUGGCCACCUCUUGUACUUCCGCUGCCACGGGAUCCCACGCCCCUUCCCUCCAUUCGGAGAAGGGGAAAACGCCCCCAGAACGGGGGGCUAAUCUGGGUUUGGCUGGUGCGUCCCAUGUGCCAGCUGCCACCACUCCAGCACCCUCCAGAGGACGGGCAGCAACACCGUUCCCCCUCUUGGGAACAACAGCCCCUCCGUCCGAUACUAGAGCAGGGUUUGACCAGGAGAGAACAGCGUCGGUGUCAGCUGGGACCAGAGAGGCCACUACAAGUGGGACAGGACAGUCAGCAACAGGUAAGCCACCUCCCAUGAAUUUCUGA